rnacentral:rRNA from 1 species
AGCAGUCGCCGCGGGAAUACGAAGGGGGCUAGCGUUGUUCGGAAUCACUGGGCGUAAAGCGCACGUAGGCGGAUGGUUAAGUCAGGGGUGAAAGCCUGGAGCUCAACUCCAGAACUGCCUUUGAUACUGGCCAUCUCGAGUCCGGAAGAGGUAAGUGGAACUGCGAGUGUAGAGGUGAAAUUCGUAGAUAUUCGCAAGAACACCAGUGGCGAAGGCGGCUUACUGGUCCGGUACUGACGCUGAGGUGCGAAAGCGUGGGGAGCAAACAGGAUUAGAUACCCCUGUAGUCCCUGUCUCUUAUAC